rnacentral:tRNA from 1 species
GAGAGAGGUUGACAACAACAAAAACUGCUAAUUUUUGCCUCUUAGGUUAGACUCCUGAGCUCACUCA